rnacentral:rRNA from 1 species
CGUGGCGGACGGGUGAGUAACGCGUGGAAAACCUGCCGUAUACUGGGGGAUAACACUUAGAAAUAGGUGCUAAUACCGCAUAAGCGCACAGCUUCGCAUGAAGCGGUGUGAAAAACUCUGGUGGUAUACGAUGGUUCCGCGUCUGAUUAGCUAGUUGGUGGGGUAAUGGCCUACCAAGGCAACGAUCAGUAGCCGGCCUGAGAGGGUGAACGGCCACAUUGGGACUGAGACACGGCCCAAACUCCUACGGGAGGCAGCAG